GUGCAUUGCACCGCCGCCAUGUCCGUAAAGGUGCGCAUCUCUUGGUGACAAAAGAUUAACCAAUCAGAUCAGGCUGACGUCCUGACCCUGGUGAACUGUAAUUAGCGAGCAGCCAAUCGAGGGAGGCCAGUGGUCCGCGCCAACAACAUCACAACAUCAACGCCAUCUUUAGGCGGUUUUAUCGUUAGCUUAGUGCCUUUUUUACAACUAGCUGCAAAUGUUCAACGGCUAAUCUUCAGCGUCGCUAGCCGCUUCCAGAACAUCAGCUGAGCAGUUUUAGCCCAGUGGGACAUUCCUUGACAGGAUGUUGGGCUUCACCACUGUGACAGACAGGAGAACAGCCUUCCUCUGUAUACAGGCCUCUACACUUGGCAGACCAAAGUGGGCUCGCAUCAAAUACUCCUUUCCGCCCUGUGACAAGUCAAGACACAAACUCUUUGACACGCAACCAAAGCACAAGUCUUACAAGGCACCCACUUCACGCUGCCCACCGUGGUCUUGAAUUUGGGUGAGUCGGCGUCAGUUGGCACAGGAAUGUGGAUCUCCACGUUGUUAGCAGUGGAACGCCUUUUAAAUUGACUCUUUGCCUAAGAUGCAAAACAAGCAGGUCAGGUUUAUUAAAGAGUCCCACCUGAACAGGAUUAAACCAGGGUUUAAUGACUGAAUGACUGUAUAAUCUUAUAUAGUCACUCACGGCAACAUGACAUGCCACAUAAAUAAUAUCUCUGAAAAUCAUUACAGUAAAUGCUAGCUCCUGAAAUGAGCACACCUCAGAACCUAUUCAGUAAUUAUGAAACCCUGUUAAAAGCAGCAUCAACAAUGCUACAAAGGACACAACCCCAAGUGCCAUACCUUAAUCAUGUACUCAAUGCGACUGUGGGAAUGCUUCUCAAUUACAGAUUCAAUCCAGAUCAAGGGCUUCACCUGAAACAUACACAACAGAAAUAUCUGAAUGUAACAGCAUACCAGUUUAAAAAUCAAAAGUGACAGAGUCACCACCUAGUGGGCAGUAGUUGUUACUACACAAAACUCAACAUUUAAUUAUACAAACUCGAGGAAACUAAUUAAUACUAUCUUAUGGAUAAACAUGUUUAUCCAUAAGAUAGCAACAGUUUAGCUGAAAAAAGACUGAUACAAGACUGUCUGUACAUAUUAAAACAUGGAAUGCAUGAAACGUGCCUUUGUAGUAUUAUAAGCCAAAAAUGAAAUAAAUUAUGCACAUCUUCAAGACUGUAACCUCAGGUAUAUGUUGUCAGUCGCAGCGCAACUUCAGAUUCAUCUAUAAGAAUUGCAAAAAGCUACAAUUGGAAAACUCCUUCAUUUAAAUGUACUUCCUUCCCUUUCCACAAGCUUACUGGUAACAGUAUUGUGAAACAUUUAUUGAGAACCAGAGUCCAGUUUUAACUUUUCUGACACAAAGUUUCUGACUAUAGCAGGCACUUUAUAUUGUUGAGAAUACAGCUUUUUUGUUUCAUUUGUGCAAAGGCAAAUUUGAUGGUGACCCCAUAGGUUAGGAGUUGUGUGUAGAAAUGUAUUUACAACAUAAAACACAUGAACUUCACAGUUAUCAGACAAUUUCUGUCUUUACUCUUGAACAAGGGUCAGUCUUACUUUGGUGCAAACGUGUUUACCCUAUAGUACUUACGUGAGUGUUGAGGCGGUAAGACAUGAGCUCAAACUCUCCAUCCGGAGGGAUGAAGGAGAUUGUGCGGUCAUUCUCAAAGCGAGACAGGCGGACACACUGGUGAAACUUCACGUCCUCCAGCUCUACUGAUUUACUCUUCCCUCCUACAUAGAUAUAAGUAAUUUAAUUAUGUUUUUCCCUCUCAUCAACUUGAGGUAUUAGAUACAUAUAAUGUUUAUUUAUAAAAUUACAAAAUUUACAUUAUUAGUGUAAUCAUAACUUCUAUCCGACACCUCCUUCUCCCAUAUACCUCAAAUAAUUUGAACAAGACAAUUGGAAAAGGUGAGAACUCACGUCCAGUGUUUUCAAACAGAACCUUAUCAUUAAGGCCCAGCCGCAACUCGGGCAUUCCAGAUAGGAAGACUCGCAUCUUAAUGGAGCCAACGAUCUCACUGCGUAGAACAUUACCAUUGGCACUAACCUAAACAAUGGAGGAAAUAAAAGUGUCAAGGUGUAAAAAAGGCCAAGAGACACCAAAACACUGAUUGACUCUGUUGUGACGCAUGCAGGGAGGAAGUUUACAAAGUCAGUGACCGGUAUCCCUUAAGCAACACAGUGCUUCUAAAACAAGGAGUUCUUACCAGGAGGUUGACUGAUUCAAUGACGUCCAGGAAGACCUCGUUCUUCCUGUACUUGAUACCCUCUGACCUCCAAGAGACUGCGUUGGUGACUGUGGCAGGAGGUCGUGGGGCACCAGUGUCUAGCUUGUGACCCUCCUGGGUUAUGUAUCUGAGAAAGAAAAAUAUAAACAAUGUGAAGCAAAACUGGAAAUGGCAUGUCUGCGGUGGCAAAUUCCCAGAAAGCAUCAAAGAAGAACUGAGACUGUUAUGGUAGGAAUGACUGAACUGACAGAUGGUUGAACUCAGAACAUCUGGGAAAAUCCAGAAUUACAAAGCCACAAAUCCUGUAAACUGCGUGUGUCUGUCUGUCUAUCUAUCUGGUUAAUCUACAUAAUUAACUAUGGCCCUCAGGGACUAGGGACACCCCUGUUUCAUACACUUCAUAAUAAUCAAAAACGACACAUUGAGAAAGUUGUCAACAAAAAAUUAGGCCUGGAGAAAAAGAGGCAAAAAAAUAACACUCACUCUUGCAGAAUCUUGCUGUCAGUGGUCUGAGGAUAGCCGAAGUCCAUCAGUUCAUCCAUCAACUCAUAUAUGAUAACAAAGUUAUCGCGAAUACUCUCUUCCUCUAACUCUUUGAAAUACUCUGAAAAAACCUAAUGAACACAAAUACCAUUUGAAAAUACACUCUCCAUCGCUGUUAAUGUUCAGUGCAUAACUUUGUUGGUGCUGUAUAUUCCAGAGCACCCAAACAUACCUGGACAAUUUUGUACAAGAAGGAAAAGACCAGCGAGACGCUAGCAUUUUUCUUGGAUGUUGCAACCACUGUUGUGUUGUAGGUUAAGAAACUUAAACAAAAGAGAUGCAAAACCAAGUGCAGAGCAGUUGCUUGGGUACAAAUACAGCAUGGAGGAUGACAAGGAUACGGUAGAGGUUAUUGUGUUUAAUCCACAUAAAGCGGACUCCGCCAUGGGCCAGGAUAGGAGAGAGGGUCCCCUCCUCCUCUUUGUCCAUCAGAAGGGUCAUGAAGUGCUCAAUCUCUGACAUGUCCACAUCUCCCCGGUAGUUUCGGCACACCAGGACCUGUUAGACACACGUUUAGCACUGUGCAGCAAUGUGAUGUUUUGCACAAGACAUCUAGAAGUGUCAGAUAAAUUUAAAAAAAAUUAAAAAUUAAGAUCUAAUUGACAAUCAAAUAGAAUGAGUACUUGUUUUUUUACUACUUUUCCGGCAUUAAUACCCAUGACAUUUUCUUCAUACCUUAACAAGUACACUUGAAAUGUCGUUAAGUAGUAUUAUGUUAUUAUUCAGCUUUGCAUUUGUAUAUUUGAUGUACCAGAUAGGUGAAGUUAGCUUCGUAACCUCUUCACAUUUCCUGCUAACAGCUGGCCACAUGUAUUAUCGCUACUUUUCAGUUUUAAAUAUCAUAUGAUUACGACCUACAAGCUCAGGGGCAAAUAUCAAACUCCAGUCCUGACACGGCGUUUAAAACCGUGCUGACACAUUAGCUAGCAAACUGCAGAUUGAGCCACAUCAUGUGUUGUCACUGAAGAAUGUGUUAGCCAGCUAGCCGACGUUAGCUUAGCAAGCUAGCAGGGUGCACCGUUAUCUUACCUUUCCUUUUAGAUCUAACACGUACACGGCACUCGCAGACAUCUUGAACUAAUUUGUACGAGCUUAGUUCAGCUCGCUCCCGGCACCUUGUUAUUAAUGUUCAAUAACAGCAAGAUGAGAGGUAAAUUCAAAGAACCGACUUUCAUUCAUAAUACUGUAAAGAAGCUAACGACCCUUUCCGUAUAGACACAUUGACCGGUGACAGCCCGCGCGCCCCCUGCCGGUAGGGAGGCCGUAGUACCGAGGGCUGCCAAGUGUAUGGGUUAUAGAGCAAACAACCUUCACUACGCACCAAGAUAACACUGAAGUAAGUACCUCACUUGGAAAGUUGUGAAGAAACAGAACCUUCAAACAAAGAGAAGAAACACUUAUUUAAUUGAUUCCUCAGACGUUAAUUCAAAAUGCAUUGAAUGACAUGGGAGUCUUCAGUAUGUGCACGUUCUCUGUCAACUAUUGUGUUGUUCAGUUUUUGUCCUGUAGCUUCUCCUGCUGGAGGAGUCAGUGAUGUACAUCAGGAAAACCCUUGUGCUUCACAGCUCCUUGUGUACAAAUCUCAAUUGGCAGCCAAUCAACAAACACUGACUUCAUGAGAGGUGAAGAGAUAACUGAAACAACAUACUGCUACUGGAACAGUUGGAGUUAAUACAGGCUUGUCAUUAACAUAGCUGAGGUCUAACAGCCUGCUCAUGUAUAGCAACCCAGCAGCUGGUGCAGGACUUUCACCACUCUGUCUUACUGAUAAAGUUAAGUUUUAUACACAGGGAACUGAAGCAGAGGAGAUAAACACUUUGUAUGAGUUUAUUCUUAAUGAAUCCCACAUCAUCAGUGGCUGGACUGGUGAAUUACCAGCCAUACAUUGUGGGAGGUUGUAAAUACAACUGGACUGAGUUACAGAGGCAAAUACAACAGGCUUCCAGUUCUCUCCUACUGGUGUACGGUCAUUGUUGACUUUGGUCACAAAUGGGCUUGGUUUACUACAGUCAGAUGUGCAGGUGUUGCCACAGCAAAUAUUACUAAUGUGGCACAUUGUCUGAUUAGACUGUCUAUUGUAAUAUUACACCGCUGUUGAAUUAAAUGGACAUCUGCAGUUAAAACGCCUCACAGUAAAAGUCCAUUCGUUGCUUGCAUGGCAUCGAGCGCUACUAAAACUGCUGUAGUUUGUAUUCUUUGUGGUAGAGUUCAUAUUCAUGCGCUCUAAUCUGUUCCACCAUUCCCAUGGCUUCGUGAUUUAUACUUAGCAGGACUUUGACUUUGCUCCCAAGGCGAUCCUGUGGCUUUUGGGGGAGUUUUUACCUUACAAGGAGAAGAGGAGUUUAGCUCGGUUUCCUGUGGGAGGGCUCUGAUUUCUCUCACUCUGCAUCUGAUUCACUCUGCCUCUAUUUCUCUCCCUCUUACCUCCUCUCUCUUUCUCGCCAUCUAUUUUGUACUGGUUUCAAUCCAGACCUCCAUUUGACUCACUCUACAACGAGAACUUUUCAAGAUUUGUCUUAUGACACAUGUCCAAAAUCAAUAUUUGUCAUGUUACACUCUUAGUAUUGAAUCUAAGUAAUGUGUUGUCAUAACACUGAGCGCAGCCAACAUCCUGAGCAACCAAAUAAGGCGCAGAGUCAUUAGUCUUAUCAUUAUAGGUCAUGACGUAAGCUUGUAUUGACCCCUGGAUUUUAAAGGAGACAACAACUUCCCUCUGUUGUUAAAAAUUAACCAUAAUCCACUGACAAUAAUGUUGGUCUCUUAGAUUCAAGGAGAAGUAAACUUUGUGAAAAUUUGUGAAGUUUCAGUAAACUAAGGAAUAUAGGCUGGGCUCAGGAUUUUUGGAAAGUUGGCAUGAUUUCGAAAAAAUUCACCUUCACAAUCAAUCAUGAAUCAAUAUUAAACUCACACUAAUUUGGGUUUGGACAGUUUCAUUUCUUUAGGAUUUUUUGUGUAUAUUGACCAAACAAAGCAAAAACAUAAAAAAACAUGAAGUGAAUUUGUCAAAUUGAUGACGAGUUUAAUAGAUGCUGUUUUAAUGACCUCUGUCCUUUACGUCUUCACUCUUCUCUGACUUUCCUUGUGUUUAU